CAUUCGAACCAUGCCCCUCACUCUCAUCUGCCCUAACCAAAUCCUAGAGAUAGCCACCCCAAAAUUCCCGCCGCCUCCGCCGUCAACCACCCACCAAAAAUCACCUCAUGGCAGUUCCGGUGCUCCAAACACUCCCAAAUUAACACCCUAUAGUCUACUCCCCCCCCCCCCUUUCUGAAUCACAAACCUUUUCUCCAAAAUCCCCACCCAAAUCCUCAAAUAUUAUAUCUAAAAAUCAGAUUCUAAACCCUAGUUCACCAAGUCCAACCAAAACAUCAUCACAUAGUCUCCUCACUCCCCUCGACCUUAAUACCUCACUAAUUUUCCCAAAUAACCCCGCAAAAUUCUGCAAUUUCAAAUCCAAGGCUAGGUUAUGUCCGGUUCAACGUCUCUAGUUCAAUUUUCGUUCGAAAUCCAAAACCCUUUUUGUUUUCCUUCGAAGAUUAGGCUCCCAGAAGUCUUUUCUUUCAAGGAGAUCCGAUCAAAGAAAUGCAAGAUUGGAUCCUUUGAAGGAAAAUACCUAUGUUGGUCAGUCAAGGCAGAGACGGCCUCAAAGCCUAUUUCAUUUGUUUGUUCCAGUCCUAAUGGUAAGGUAUCAUCAUUUUUACCUCUCCAUUUCUUUUUUUUCUUUUCCUCAAAUGUCGAGUCAGUGUUUUUCCUAAAUUGAUUUUCCGUUUAUAAAUUUGUCUAUUCUUUGAAGGUGAUUAGUUAGUAAUUUUGUUUUAGGGUGCAUCAAUUUGUUCAUUUUGGUUUCAGAAUUGCUCCAGUGUUUGUGCAAGUUUCAUUUAGGGAUUAUGGAUUUGGCUUAGCCCAUGAUUAUUUUAGCCUAAGUUUGAGUUAGCUUCUUUUUGUUGUCAUAAGCCAUUAGUUCUCUUUUUCGUUGUUUUUCUCUGACUGCAUGAUUAGCAUAAAUUAUUAGUUAUUUGUUUUUAAUUAAUGCAUGAUUAGUUUAGAUUCAGUGAUGUUCAAGUUGUUUGAUUGUUUGUUUACCCGUUUGCCUAGGCAUUGUGAAGUUUCUUAUGAACUUGGCAUGUUAGAAGUUAGGGUUAUUUUAAAUUUUCAGAUGAUUAUGCUUUGUUUGGUUUGUUUUACUGAUAUUGGCCCAUUUGCAUGUGUUUGCCUAGGUCUGUAAAUUGUUAGAAACUCCUAGGGUGUUAAUUGAACAAAUAAAAACUUAUGAGGUUAAUUUGGAAAUAGGAAAUAGAAUUUUCAGAAGGGAAGUUUCUAGAAAUUAGGGCAGUUGGCCCUAUUUGGCCUGUACAAAAUGCUAAAACCAAUUAGAGGUUGGCAGCUGUCCCAUUUCUGUAAAAACGAUGCUGAAAAUAGGAUAAGAGGGACAGUUGUACCAGGGCUGUGAGGGAGGACAGUACUAUUUUUAGAAUUAGGAUAAGGAAUAUUCCUAAAAAAUACUCACCCUAGGUAGCCUAUAUAUAGACACUAUCAUUCUGAAAAUGACACACACAUUCAGAGAUUCAGAUCCUAGAAAAUACACAAAAGUUUCUGCAUUACUUUCAUUAAACAUUGGUUGGAAUUGUUCUCUGAUUUUUCUUUUAGUAAGAACUUAAAGCUUUUCGUGGAAUUUCUGGAUUUCUGGGUAUAUAGAUGGUCUAAAGAGGCUGAACAUUGCUGGUGGCUUGCUGUUUUGCUCACUUUUCUGCUUGUGCUGAAAUCCUUGCUCCUUUUUUUUUUGUUCUUGAUUUCCAGGUAUGUUCAUGAGCUCGAAGUGAUAAAAAUAGGCUUGUAAUCUGCUGAUUUAGAAUUGGAUUCACUAUAUUUAUUUAGCUCAAUGUUUUCUAUGCUAUUGAUCUAUAUCACCUAGAAUCUAUAACUGC
rnacentral:lncRNA from 1 species